GCAGUGCCCAGAAGAAUUCGAGUCGGGGGCACGGUGGGGAGAAGGGGCCGAUCCCCUGCUGGCGACCGGGCAGAGCCACCCAUUUCCUCUAAGGGCGCGGGACUCGAGGUACCACCUCUUUCAUCCACACAAUGGAUCAAGGAGUUAUAGCAACUUUUAAGUUCUACUACCUGAGGAGGGAGGUCUUUUGCCCAGUACCAUACUGCAGUGGAGGAAGACACUGAGAAGACUCUGAUGAAAUUCUGAACAGCAUCAAGAACCUUGUUUAGGCUUGGAGUAUGUCGCUAAGGACUGUAGGAAUGGCACCUGGAAGAUGACACGCAAGAGGUUUGUCAAUAACUUCAAAGGAUUUGCCAAGGAUGAGGAAGUUGCAAAAAUCAAGAAGGCUGUGGUUGAGAUGGCAAACAACUUUAACCUGGGUAUGGAUGAGGAUGACAUUGAGUAAUUCCUAGAGGGACUUCCUGAGGAAUUGACUAAUGGGUUGCUUUUGGAACUGGAAUAGGAGUGCAUAGCCGAAGAAGACGUAAAAGGAAAAGAAAGUGCAGGAGAAAGGAAAAAAGAACUCCCAAGAACACUCACAGCGAAGGGUGUAGCAGAAGUUUUUUCAGACUCCAACAAGCUCCUUAAGAAGUCUGAAAACAUUGGCACCAAAACUGAAAGGUUUUCACUAAUAGACAGGAAAGUUCAUGGUGCAUUAUCUGCCUACAAGCAAAUCCA